GCGCUUAACACAUGCAAGUCGCACGAGAAAGGGGGCAACCCUGAGUACAGUGGCGUACGGGUGAGUAACACGUGGGUGAUCUACCUCUUAGUGGGGAAUAACCCUGGGAAACCGGGGCUAAUACCGCAUAAUCCUGAGAAGGGAAAGCAGCAAUGCGCUGAGAGAGGAGCCCGCGGCCGAUUAGCUAGUUGGUAGGGUAAAAGCCUACCAAGGCAAAGAUCGGUAGCCGGCCUGAGAGGGCACACGGCCACACUGGCACUGAAACACGGGCCAG
rnacentral:rRNA from 1 species